rnacentral:rRNA from 1 species
UACGUAGGGGCCUAGCGUUGUCCGGAAUUAUUGGGCGUAAAGAGCUCGUAGGCGGUUCGGCAAGUCGGAUGUGAAAUCUCCACGCUUAACGUGGAGGGGCCAUUCGAAACUGCUGUGACUCGAGUCCGGUAGGGGAGUGUGGAAUUCCCGGUGUAGCGGUGAAAUGCGCAGAUAUCGGGAGGAACACCAGUAGCGAAGGCGGUUGCCUGGGGCUUUGCUGACGCUGAUGCGCGAAAGCGUGGGGAGCGAUCCGG